CAGCCGCCGCGGUAAUACGAAGGGGGCUAGCGUUGCUCGGAAUGACUGGGCGUAAAGGGCGCGUAGGCGGCGAUCAAAGUCAGGCGUGAAAUUCCUGGGCUCAACCUGGGGGCUGCGCUUGAUACUUGGUUGCUUGAGUGGGGAAGUGGGUCGUGGAAUUCCCAGUGUAGAGGUGAAGUUCGUAGAUAUUGGGAAGAACACCGGUGGCGAAGGCGGCGACCUGGUCCUUUACUGACGCUGAGGCGCGAAAGCGUGGGGAGCAAACAGGAUUAGAUACCCCCGUAGUCCCUGUCUCUUAUAC
rnacentral:rRNA from 1 species